UACGUAGGGGGCAAGCGUUGUCCGGAUUUAUUGGGCGUAAAGAGCGUGUAGGCGGCCAGACAGGUCUGCUGUGAAAACUCGAGGCUCAACCUCGAGACGCCGGUGGAAACCGUCUGGCUAGAGUCCGGAAGAGGAGAGUGGAAUUCCUGGUGUAGCGGUGAAAUGCGCAGAUAUCAGGAAGAACACCCGUGGCUAAGGCGGCUCUCUAGUACGGUACUGACGCUGAGACGCGAAAGCAUGGGGAGCGAACAGG
rnacentral:rRNA from 1 species